rfam:Schistosoma haematobium scaffold165_14, whole genome shotgun sequence.
AUCCAGCUGACGAAUCCCAAAUAGGAUGAAACGCGCUACUGGAU